rnacentral:rRNA from 1 species
AGUCGAACGCGAAAUUUUUCUUCGGAAAGAGAGUAGAGUGGCGCACGGGUGAGUAACGCGUAAGUUAUCUACCUCGGCAUCUGGAAUAACUCACCGAAAGGUGUGCUAAUACCGGAUACGUUGAGUAAUCAAGAAAGGUGGCCUCUGAAUAUGCUACUGUGCUGAGAUGAGCUUGCGUACCAUUAGCUAGUUGGUAGGGUAAUGGCCUACCAAGGCAACGAUGGUUAGCGGGUCUGAGAGGAUGAUCCGCCACACUGGAACUGGAACACGGACCAGACUCCUACGGGAGGCAGCAGUGAGGAAUAUUGCGCAAUGGGGGAAACCCUGACGCAGCGACGCCGCGUGGAUGAUGAAGGCCUUCGGGUCGUAAAAUCCUGUCAAGUGGAAAGAAGUGCAUGGUGGCUAAUACCUGCUGUGCUUGACGGUACCACUGAAGGAAGCACCGGCUAACUCCGUGCCAGCAGCCGCGGUAAUACGGAGGGUGCAAGCGUUGUUCGGAAUUACUGGGCGUAAAGCGCGCGUAGGCGGUUUUAUAAGUCAGAUGUGAAAGCCCUCGGCUCAACCGGGGACGUGCAUUUGAAACUGUGAGACUUGAGUAUUGGAGGGGGUGGUGGAAUUCCCGGUGUAGAGGUGAAAUUCGUAGAUAUCGGGAGGAAUACCAGUGGCGAAGGCGACCACCUGGCCAAAUACUGACGCUAAGGUGCGAAAGCGUGGGGAGCAAACAGGAUUAGAUACCCUGGUAGUCCACGCCGUANACGAUGUCAACUAGGUGUUGGGACGGUUUAUCGUCUCAUUGCCGCAGCUAACGCAUUAAGUUGACCGCCUGGGGA